rnacentral:rRNA from 1 species
GGAAUAUUGCACAAUGGGCGGAAGCCUGAUGCAGCGAUGCCGCGUGGAGGAAGAAGGUUUUCGGAUUGUAAACUCCUGAUCUGAGGGACGAUAAUGACGGUACCUCAGGAGAAAGCUCCGGCUAACUACGUGCCAGCAGCCGCGGUAAUACGUAGGGAGCGAGCGUUGUCCGGAAUUACUGGGUGUAAAGGGUGCGUAGGCGGGGCUGCAAGUCAGAUGUGAAAUGUAUGGGCUCAACCCAUGAACUGCAUUUGAAACUGUGGCUCUUGAGUGAGGUAGAGGUAAGCGGAAUUCCUAGUGUAGCGGUGAAAUGCGUAGAUAUUAGGAGGAACAUCGGUGGCGAAGGCGGCUUACUGGGCCUUUACUGACGCUGAGGCACGAAAGCGUGGGGAGCAAACA